UAUUUGACAUUUGAUUAGAUUUUUUACUUUGCAUGAAAAUUUGAUUUUAUAUAGUGGUAACAUUUUAAGUGUUGUUUUUUCAUUUCACAUCAAAAUGUUGCAGUAUUCACCUCCUGAAUAUAAAACAACAUCCUGGAAUUUGAGAGACAGAUCAUGAUGUUUCUUAGUUGCUUUAUCUUACUUUUGUGUGAAAAGGUUGAGGUAUACAUAAUGGCAUUUUGUUGAAACACCCAAAAACGUAUUUUUCUCAAGAUUCAUAAUCCUGAAGAAUGCAUGGGUUUUCCCUGUGGCGUGUUGUUUGCCAAUGUGUAUGAGUAUACUUGCAUAUUUCUGCUGUUACUUAAACACAAGGGCUGGUGUGUACAUGAGUGUCAUGAUCUGAACUGUGUGGGGAAAUGUGUCCAAGGAUGUUGUGGGGAGGAAUAGAGCUGAAAAUGACAAAUACAUGGGUAGAAGCAAACCAACAUAGAGUCAUAACAGCUGAGUGGAUGGAGUGGCAGAUUGAGCUCGGAUUGUCUGAACCACAGAGUGACAGUAAUAAUCAUAUCCUCAGUCGACCGAACGGAGCUGGGCUUUUUUUGGAAUGAUUUAACGUGAGUCUCAAGCCUCUUGGUCAUCCUGCAUGAUGAGAUUUGUAAGGUCACUUCCUUCAGCAAAGCCAGAGGAGUCACUGUCUGACCAAACACCGCCAUAAAUUAUCAGCUUCCGUCUAUGUAUGUGCGGGAAAAGUGGCUGAUGUCAUGGAGUGCAAUCUUGAAAUGCUCAGCAGUCGAUGGGAUGUGAAUUUACUGCGGGUUGACUUGUCGAAACAUGUUUCUAAUAAACCACGACCUGCUACAAUUGCUGUCAUAAAAUGUGUCAUGUCACAUGGCCCCCCUCUCAGAUGUGAAAAGUGGACCUGUGUGGCCAACCCAUGCAGUGCUUAUAGACCAGUGGAAACAUGGACCAGAUGGAGAUAUGGUGAAUCCAACAAUACCAGAAAAGAACAUGUUUGGGUCAUAUUCCACUUUUGGAAAAAAUGAAUAAAUAACGGGGAAAAAAAUCUGAUAAAUUAAUAAAUGUUAAUUAUUUGUUUAUUUAAAAUUGACCAUAUUAUUAUAAUCAUUGACAAUGGCAAGAAAUUGUGAUAAGACAUCAGCCUAUAGAGCA
rnacentral:lncRNA from 1 species